CCUACGGGUGACAGCAGUGAGGAAUAUUGGUCAAUGGGCGAGAGCCUGAACCAGCCAAGUCGCGUGAGGGAGUACUGCCCUAUGGGUUGUAAACCUCUUUUGUCGGGGCGCAAAAGCCGGACGUGUCCGGCUGUGAGAGUACCCGAAGAAAAAGCAUCGGCUAACUCCGUGCCAGCAGCCGCGGGAAUACGGAGGAUGCGAGCGUUAUCCGGAUGUAUUGGGUGUAAAGGGGGCGCAGGCGGAGUUUUAAGUCAGCGGUAAAAUCGUGGGGCUCAACCCCAUCCAGCCGUUGAAACUGGGGAUCUAGAGUGUGCGAGAGGUAUGCGGAAUGCGUGGUGUAGCGGUGAAAUGCAUAGAUAUCACGCAGAACCCCGAUUGCGAAGGCAGCAUACCGGUGCACAACUGACGCUCAGGCACGAAAGCGUGGGUAUCGAACAGGAUUAGAUACCCGGGUAGUC
rnacentral:rRNA from 1 species